rnacentral:rRNA from 1 species
AACGGCCAUACCAUGCUGAAUAUACCGGUUCUCGUUAGAUCACCGAAGUUAAGCAUCAUUGGGCGUGGUCAGUACUUGGGUGGGUGACCACCUGGGAACACCGCGUGCCGUU